rnacentral:rRNA from 1 species
GUCCACGCUAUAAACGAUGGAUGCUAGAUGUCGCGGGUAUUGACCCCUGCGGUGUCGACGCUAACGCAUUAAGCAUCCCGCCUGGGGAGUACGGCCGCAAGGUUAAAACUCAAAGGAAUUGACGGGGGCCCCGCACAAGCGGUGGUGCAUGUGGUUUAAUUCGACGCAACGCGCAGAACCUUACCUGGGUUCGAACGGCACUGGAAUCUUACAGAGAUGUAGGAGCCCGCAAGGGCUGGUGUCGAGGUGCUGCAUGGCUGUCGU